UUAUACAUUGUCAAGUGGUCUGUGUUGAUUUUGGCGUUCAGCUAUAUAAAUAAUAAUAAAAUGGCCACAGAAUCGGAUUCUUCCGUUUCCUCUGACGAAAUAGACUGGUUAGGGGAAAAUUGUGGAGUUUAUGAAGAUAUAGUGGAUUGUUUAAUUGAAACUACAGAUGAAAAGCCGCAAUCACCCGUGGUGUGUGUUGACACGGACAAUGACAAUAAUAAUCACAUUGCUGAGAAUUAUUUGACAAAUGAAGCAGAAUCCCCUCCAAAAAAUAAACGGUCUGCUGAAGAUGAAAAGACAGUGGCACAAAAAAAAGGAAAAAGAGAGGUUUCGUACAACAAGUUUUGGGAAACCAAGUACUCUGUCAUAAAAGGAAAUUCAAAACACAUGGCAAAAUGCAUAUUGUGCGAGUGUCAGAAAUAUUAAAAAAACCGCAAAUGCACAAACAAUCAAAACUAUUUUUUCCAGCAAGUAGAAAGUUCAAAGUAAAUUACAAAUUGCUGAAUGCAGAUUGAUUUAUCAUUCAGUGCAACAAUCACACAGUUAUUUGUCAGUAGACUGCUUGGUAAAAAUACUCUCAAAACUUCUUCCUAAUUCACAGACGGCUCAAGGAAUCACACUCAGUAGAACGAAAGGGACAAAAAUUGUCACUAAUGUAUUGGCUCCCUAUACACAGAGGAAAAUAUUAGAAGAUUUGCAAGGUCAUCGCCCAUUCUCAAUGUCAAGUGAUGCAUCCGAUCAUGGGAACAUAAAAACAUUUCCUCUGGUACUAAGGUACUUUAAAAAAGAGGAGAGAAUUAAAACAAUGCUUUUAAAUUUCUACUCGUCCCCAUCAGGAAAAUCUAAGGAUAUUUCUUUUGGCAUAGUUACAAAUUUAGAGAAAGCUGGAUUAACAAUUGCAGAUGUAACUGCCUAUUGGGCUAAUAAUGCGUCAGUGAAUUUUGAAAAACCAAAGGGUUUUUACAGAAAUUAAGAAAUUGAAUGACAGCAUAAUACCAAUUGGUUGUGUAUGCCAUAUAGUCCACAAUUCUCGUAAAAACGGCCACAAAGCCUUAAGAUACGAUAUUGAACUGAUUGUGAUUAAAUGCUACAAUGGAUUUUCAAGCAGCACGAAAAAAACUGAGGAACUCAAAGAUUUUUUUGAAUUUUGCGUUUUUGAGUGGAGUGAAUUGUUUCUGUGCCAACCAAAUGGCUUAGUCUUAUACCAGCAGCAGAAAGGCUUCUAAAGAAGUUUCAACCAGUAAAAUAUCAUUUUUGUCAAUGGAGUCCCCACCAGCCAUUUUACAAAAUUUUUUUCCAGAUGAAUUUGCUGAGGCAUAUUUGGGAUUCUUAGUAAAUGUUGGUCCCACAUUGCAAAUCACCAUUCAAAAAUUACAAUCAGAUAAAGCUACAAUACUAGAACUUCAUGAAACAAUGAUCUUUUUAAGAAAAAGUCUACAAACUAAACUCUAUCAAGAAUUUUAUGGAGCCAUAGCAAGAAAUUAAUACUAAAAUCUGAGAAUAGUGAUACAAUUGUACAGUUCAAGAGACAGGCAAAUGUUUUCUUGGAAAGGACAAUAUCUUAUUUGGAAAAAUGGUACCAAUACAACAACAAUAGAUUUGAAAAUCUAUCUUGCAUGAUUUUAAAGAAAUCACAAAUCUUGUCUGUAGAAAAAUCUAUUAAAAUAUCUUCAGAUUUUAAAAUAGACAUAGAUGAAGACAUGCUCUUUGAAGAAUUUAUCAGACUGAAAUAUUUUAUUGAAAAUAAUUUAAAUGAAGAGGAAGAUAUAAGUCAAAGAUGGAUGGCAUUUUUUAAAAACAAUUUCCCGGCAAAUUUUUAAAAAAUAUGUAAUACAUUUUUAUCAAUUCCACAUUCAAAUGCCUUUCCUGAAAGAAUGCUUAGUCUAAUGAAUGCCGCUUGGAGAAAGGAAAGAAAUAAAUUAGAUAUUAAGACUUUGGAGGCGGAGCUUAUAGUUAAAACUAAUUUUAAAAUGAACUGCAAAGAAUUUUUGCUAUUUCUGAAAAGUGGGGAUGUGGGCGCAGAUGAUAUAUUGAAAAAGGUAUCAUCAUGUCAAAAAUAUGAAAAUUAAUUGAAUGGUGCUAAAGCUAAAUAAUGUCUGUUGUGGUGUUAUGUCACGCUUAUGUUGUAUUUUAUAUCGUACUUUGCGUUAAUUUUGUGUGAGAAAUACGGAGACAUUUAAGUACAUAUUUUUGUAGGUUUUUGGUUCUAAUGAAAUUGAUAUUUUUCAGUUAGGUGGUCAUUUUUUAAAAUCUACUUCAAAGAUAUCUUUGCAGUGCUUGGAAAGUUUGUUAAAUACAAUUAUUGUGUAAAUUGGUAUAGGCGCGCACAAAAUUACAACUCGAAUAGCUCUCGUAUGACAACACGUUCUGAGUACAUUUAGCAUUAAAAUCGUCAAACUUUAUGAUGGCAAUGUCAAAUUUGACAUAUUCACAUCACACCUCAAAACUUAACAACCCACUUAAAUAGUAAUAAGUCCUUGUGCAUAAAAAAAUAUGUGAUAUACAAAUUCUUCAACAAGAAAAUAUAGAAAUACUCAAUAAUUUUGUUUAAUUAUGCAUUUCAACAAAAAAUUAUUUUUUAGUAUUGUACCGCCAUCUGACAAACGUUUUCCUCAUCCACCACUAUAAAUAAAAAAAAUUAUAAUCUUUGAAACCCCCGGAGUAAUGGAGUAUAGAAAAAAAUAGAUAUGUUUUAACUGGUAAAUUCAAUCAGUCUCGUAUUCGUAACUUUACACAAGCAAUCGUAACUAUGGAGUGUAGAGAAGGAGGAACAUCUAUUAUGGACGGUACGUUUAAAAUAUGGUCUGAAUUCUGUAGGGAUAAUACGUGGCGCUGAUUGUUCUAUGGGAUUGAGAUCUGAAGUUAAACACUUACUGUAUAAGAAAUUAUCAAAGUUGUAACUGACGUUUGAUUAUAUUCAUGUGAAAAGCUGUGCAAUCCUUAAUAUCUUAUUAGAUUUUUAUUUUUUUUUUAAGAACUUGAUAUAUUUCUGUACCUGCUUGCAUAAGCGAAUUACCAAUGAUAUUUUAACAAAACUAUAAUUAUUAUAUUUGUUGCGUAUAGAGUUCAAUAUUUUAUUUCUAUGAACCAAAGUGUUUUAUUUUCAAUUAUUUUAUUAUUCUUAUUGAUAUUUUUAUAUGACUAACUAUUAUAUUAGUUGCUAAUAAAGUUCAAUAUUUUAUUUUUAUGAACCGAAAUAUUUUUUUUAUUAUUCUAUUAUUUUUAUUGAUCUAAUUAUAUCGCUAUAAUUAUUAUAUUAGUUACGGAUAAAAUUCAAUAUUUUAUUUUAAUCAACCAAAAUGUUUUUUUUUAUACUAUUUCAUUAUUGUUACAUGAUACUACUUUUUUUCAUAUUAGAAUAUAUGUAUUAUCUUAACCAAAUAAAUAGCUAAAUAAUAAAGUUAAUUUAACGAGA